UACGAAGGGGGCUAGCGUUGUUCGGAAUUACUGGGCGUAAAGGGUUUGUAGGCGGUUGAACAAGUCAGGUGUGAAAGCCCGGGGCUUAACCCCGGAAUUGCAUUUGAAACUGUUCAGCUAGAGAGUGUUAGAGGAAAGUGGAAUUCCUAGUGUAGGAGUGAAAUCCGUAGAGAUUAGGAGGAAUAUCGAUGGCGAAGGCAGCUUUCUGGGACAUUUCUGACGCUGAGAAACGAAAGCGUGGGUAGCAAACAGG
rnacentral:rRNA from 1 species